AACACACACUCAUGUGUGUGUUCUGGUCGUGAUUUACACAGGAGCCAAAAAGGGUUUUUAUCAAAACCCUAAAUCACAAGAAAUUCAGCCAAAUCAAGGGAAAUCAAGCUAGGAAAUUGGGGCUUUUAAUAAAUUAGUGAUCACCAAACCUAGGGGAUUACAAGUUUGACGCCUAACAAGCUAGGUGGAAGCUUGUGGAUGAAGCGGGUCAAACGGAGCGCGUACGGAAAGAAAGGCGUGGCAUGGAUGCAAGGUGUAAAUGUCAAAUGGGUAUUAGCAACGCUAUGAAUUAGCGGUUAUAAAAGCAAGGUAUUAAAAACGGGUCAAUAUAUUGGUCUGCGCCAGGUAUGUGAAAAAGGGUAACCCUCAUUUAGAACAUGUGGUUCAAAGAGUGUUAAAAGUAGUCAAGGUGAACAUUUGGUUACUUGAUAAGUAAACCAAAUAUUUUAGGUAAGGAACAUUGUAUUUGGAAAGCUUAAUGACUUUUCAAACAAAAUCAUAGGUUAAAAGAGGGAUUACGGGUCAAAAUAAGCAUACGAGUGAAAACGGGUUUUAAAUUGUGUAAUAAACCUGUGAUUAUAACCUAAUAUGGUAAAUAACCUUAAUUUGAAGUAGUGUACGUGAAAUAAAGGUUAGACAAGUAUGUUUGUUUGAUAAACAUAUAAACGGGUCAAAAUUUUGGUAAAAGAGUAAUAAGCCGAAGACUUAAAAGUCUUAAAUUUUAUUAAUCCGGAUGUUGGAUUUUAACUCCAUAUGAUGGAAGAUUAAAUUACAAUCAUGUAGGAAGAAACGGUAGAUCAAACGGAUAAGCGGUUUGAAAGAUACGAAAGUUUUCGUGUCGAAUAACGGCAAAAAUAGAGAAGCUGGAUGCAGAGUCCACCGUAAUUUACGGUCCCACCGUAAAUUACGGUGGAGAUGAAUUGGUUACGGUGCUAAUUGUCUGUUGUACGGUAGAAGAAUAGAAACCUAGGGGCCAUCGUAAUUUACGGUCCCACCGUAAAUUACGGUGGAGAUUAUUUUUUUAUAUUUUGUUUUCAUUUGAAAAUCAAUUGUUUCCCGGACAUCGUUCGGACAUGAUUUAAACCCCGUAUGACUAAAGCAUUUCAUGUUUAUGAA